rnacentral:rRNA from 1 species
GAUGAACGCUAGCGGCAGGCCUAAUACAUGCAAGUCGAACGGUGUCUUCGGACAUAGUGGCGCACGGGUGCGUAACACGUAUGCAACCUACCUUACAUUGGGGGAUAGCCUUUCGAAAGGGAGAUUAAUACCGCAUAAGACAGUAACUAGGCAUCUAGUAGCUGUUAAAGAUUUAUCGAUGUAAGCUGGGCAUGCGUCCAAUUAGCUAGUUGGUGAGGUAACGGCUCACCAAGGCAAUGAUUGGUAGGGGAACUGAGAGGUCAAUCCCCCACACUGGCACUGGGCUACGGGCCAGACUCCUACGGGAGGCAGCAGUAGGGAAUAUUGGGCAAUGGACGCAAGUCUGACCAGCCAUGCCGCGUGCAGGAUGAAGGCGUUAUGCGUUGUAAACUGCUUUUAUACAGGAAGAAACGACUCUUGCGAGAGGCAUUGACGGUACUGUAUGAAUAAGCACCGGCUAACUCCGUGCCAGCCGCCGCCGUAACAC